rnacentral:tRNA from 1 species
GACGGUAUAAGCUCAGUGGUAGAGCGCGUGCUUAGUAUCAGCGAGGUCCUGGGUUCAAUCCCCAGUACCUCCA